rnacentral:rRNA from 1 species
AUACGGAGGGUGCAAGCGUUGUUCGGAAUUACUGGGCGUAAAGCGCGUGCAGGCGGUAAGGUAAGUCAGAUGUGAAAGCCCCGGGCUCAACCCGGGAAGUGCAUUUGAUACUGCCUUUCUUGAGUAUGGGAGAGGGGUGUGGAAUUCCUAGUGUAGAGGUGAAAUUCGUAGAUAUUAGGAGGAACACUCGUGGCGAAGGCGACACCCUGGAACGUAACUGACGCUGAGAUGCGAAAGCGUGGGGAGCAAACAGGAUUAGAUACCCGAGUAGUCC